UACGUAGGGUGCGAGCGUUAAUCGGAAUUACUGGGCGUAAAGCGUGCGCAGGCGGUCUGUUAAGACAGAUGUGAAAUCCCCGGGCUUAACCUGGGAACUGCAUUUGUGACUGGCAGGCUAGAGUAUGGCAGAGGGGGGUAGAAUUCCACGUGUAGCAGUGAAAUGCGUAGAGAUGUGGAGGAAUACCGAUGGUGAAGGCAGCCCCCUGGGCCAAUACUGACGCUCAUGCACGAAAGCGUGGGGAGCAAACAGG
rnacentral:rRNA from 1 species